UCCACGCGGGCAGGUGGCAGCCGCGCCGCUCCGGUCGCCGACGCUCCUCAGGGCCCCGCGGAGCCCCCUUGGCAGGACCACGCGGGCUGUGGUAUCCCCGGUGACCAAGGCCAUCUUCGUGGCUCUGUUCCUCUUGGCUGUGCUGCUCAUCCUCUACGUGAUCCUGUGGUACAUUUGCCGGGACGUGGACAACGACUACAUCUGAAGCAGUUUGCCGGGGUUGAUUUGGGAGCCGAAGCCUGCAGCCGACACUUCACUGCCACCUUGGCAACUCUAGGAGCACAUCCAGCACACCACAGCCCAUGGAGCUGCCCUAUUUUGCCAAGCUUCUCCCCGCAGUGACAGCUUUUCAGACUUGCCUUUGUGUCCGACGACGCUGACAGCUUCUGGUUGAGACUAUUGCAGAGUGUCGCUCUAUUUGAAUCUGUGUUGUGUUCUUCUCAUAAUGGAACUGUUGCUGCGAGUGUCAGAAAGGAGGACCAGAGACGUGACGUGCCCUCCCACCUUCAAGGGUGCGGGCAUCGACAGGACUCAUCACUGCGACCUUGACCUUCAGCACCUGGCUGAGACGAUGUAGGUCCAGCUUCUCCACGGAAUGGGAACGCCCCCUCCCUUUCUCGCGUCUGUUAUUGGGAAGGAAAUCCCUAGACUAGGUACCGAUCCCAGUAAGGACCUGAAGUUCUCCAGCACAAACAUUUGUCUCCUCUCCCCACGAUGUCUUUAUUCAGUCCUUUCUCCAUCUUGCUCUGGACGCAUGGAUACUGGUUUUAUGAUGUGGGUUGUAGCACCAUAUGCUCUUCUUUGGGUACUCACAUUGUUCCCGACUUGGCCACCGCAGCCCCUUCCAUGACUCCUUUGUCCCUUGGACGUGCCCCCAUCCUUGUUUUGUUUUAGCUUGUUUUUUGAGCAUUUCCGUGCUUGAUGGCACAACAAGCGGUCCCAGGCUCAUCUUGUCUAUUUCCCGCCCCCGCCCUACAAUUCUCCAUUUCUCUAAGGAUCCUUGGUUUCGUUUCCUGGGAAAUCUGAUUAGAAACCAGUCCUAGGUGUGUUGUCAAAAUCUCGGCUGUCUCUGUACACGGAGGCGAGAUAGAGACAGCGUUGGAGGAAACAGAAAAGGGAGCUUUAAUUGCCAGGCCAAGAGGGGACCAGAGCAGGCUGGGGCCUCCAGGCCUGUGCCCCCGCUGAGAGUCUUAGGGUGUCAAGGAGCAGGGCGAGGUCGGCGCAUGGACCUUUUCCUGAUUGAUGGGUGGGGAGCCACAGCCACCGGCCUACACCCCAGCCCCGACAAUGCGGGAUCCAAGCCGCA